CGGAAGAGCGAGCCGGGAAGAGCGGAAAAUCUGCCGGUGCUGCAACUGCCCGAGUUCUGCGUGCUUCCGUAGCCGCCUAUUCGGGGUAGAGCGGAGCCGAACUGCGCUCCAGUGCACAAGAACCGUGGUGUCCCCUCCCACCCCCGGUAGGAAGCCAGUCCUGAAUCGGGAGGCGUGGUAGCCACCGACACCUAACGCCACUCUCCGGAGUGAUUUCCUGCGGCCUCUGCGGCCUCAAGAGAGCACCGAAGGGGAGCUUAAGGAAUGUACUCGGCACAAGCAGGCCUGUCACAGGGGCAGCCCCUCCCGAACUCGGUGACGUGAAUCUUGGAAGCGGACAGCUCCAGCCUGAAGUCUCUCAGGGUACACAGCAGCUUAGCCCACACAGCCAGAGGUAACCCAAGAAGCUCCCUUAGAACACCAGGUUGUCCUCAGAAUUCACUCUCCACCAUGGGAGAAGAAAAAAGUUGAGGGUAGUAGACCUCAAACACCAGAAAGAAACGGUAAGGUCUUUGCAUGCUCUGAGUCCAGUUACACCGAACACAAAUCCAUCACCCCUAAAGAAAAUGAGCAAUCGAACAAGCAGCUCUCUGACAAGACCCAUGUAAUACGGUAUUGCUGCCCUGGGUAAGAAGUAAGAGCAUAAGCAGGUGCAUUUCCUGGAUAUAGAAGGAUAAAUCUUUGAACAUACUUUAACUCUACAAUGUUCAUCGUGGUUUUGAACUUUCCGUGGGAUGAAACAUCUGAAUUUCUUUAUCCUGCACAACAGGAAAUAGUGCAUUAAGUUCCUUGCAAGUCUUUGAAUAACCAAGAGUCUAAGCCCUACUUGAUAACCGUAUUAUAAAAAAAGACCAGUAUGGUAAACUAGAAGAAUCUGCUACCUACCUUUAAUUGUGAAGUACUUACUGUUUCUCAAUGGAGAUUUCAAGAAAUGAAAAAAAAAUUCUCUUUGGAAAAUAAAGGUGCUUUGGAGACUGAGAGGAACUAUAUAGGGUCAUUUGCUUAUUCAUAUUGGAAGAUCAGUUUUGAAUUUAAUAAUCAAACCUUAAAAACCAAUUCACAUUGCAUUAGAAAUCUGUUUUAACAAAAACAGUUUACAACAUGUCCUUAGUGCACCCAAAUCAACAAAACACACAUUAGAAGCUAGGAGCCCUAGGCAAUGAAAGGUAAUGUAUUAAUUUCCCAGGACUCUAAUUUACAGAUACCUAGCCAUUUCUCUUAAAAGCUAGAACUUAUUUUAGCAAUUCUCUGCAAACAAAACUGACACGAUUUCCCUAAUGCCUGUGGCUUUAAGCGCUCAGUGACAGCUUUCACAGGUUCACAACUGAAAACCCACAUCACUCUUUGUAUAGGAUAUACACUGUUUUCAUGGCUUCAUUUUUUUUCUGAAUCCUUUUCUCAGCUGUAGAAACUACAUAUUUGAUGUUGUUUUAGGUUGGGUUCUCCACGAGACAAAUGCGCAGAUGGCAUUAUGAGAAAAGGUUGAUUAAGAAUUAGCACCUGUGGAAGGAGAGCUGCAGGACUUGAAGGGGCAGGGGAGGGCACAGAACAUUUUGCACACCUGACAAAGCCCCUACCAGUUUUAGGGGAAACUCCAGAGCAAAAGGUGCCCAUUAGGGAGUCCAUGCUGGGGAGAAAGGACUAGGCCCUUGUAUGGCCACCUCUCUCAGUCACUGUCUGGGAACAGCCCCAAGAAGAGCCCAGGACAAACAUGACCCGGGUUUGAAGGCUCAAGUAGAGCCUGAAGAAGCUGGAGACCGUCUGCUAAUCAUACUGCAAGUGAGUGGAGUCGCCUCCAAUGCUGCAUUUCCAUGCCAGUCACGUGUGUCAGCACAUCAACAGCCUGUCUCACCUACAGCCCUUGCACCAUCAAAGACAGCCAAUAAAGGAAUGAAAAGACCCACAAAGAAAACUGAAGACACUUAUAUAGAAGAGAUCAACCAUCUCAGAAAGCAAAAUGAGUAAAGAAUUGGGAAUCAAUACAGCAGAACAAAGCUGAAGCCUAAGUCAUGGAAUCAGGAAAGCCAGCAAGAAGCAAGCCGAUUCCUGCCACAGAACUCCCAUCAGCUCAGGAAUAAGAGGCACCUGGUCCUCAGAGCCGGGAGAGACUGAAAACAUAAAAUAGCUGUGAAUCUUCAAAAUGCACAUCUGAGCACCCUUAUAUGCCUCACUAAACGAGGCCUGGUGACUACCCUGCUGGCAGCCUGAAAGAAAACCGGAGUGAAAAUUUACCCCCAAGAUAAAACUGAAGAGGGCUUGACCUCAGGGACACCAGAUAAGACAUAAAGGCCAAGAGUAAAUUCGGUAGAGAUGGAAUAAAGCUGAGGAAACCACCCAAAAAUGAUAAAGAAGCAGUUGGAGCAAAGACCAUUAGAAGAUCAGCCUGGAUGAUCAAAAGGAAUGAAAUCUUGCCAUUUGCAACAAUGUGGAUGGAACUAGAGUAUGUUAUGCUAAGCAAAAUAAGUCACGCAGAGAAAG